AGCCCGUGGCUCAAUGGUAGAGCGUUCGACUCAAAUACCAAAGGUCGCGGGUUCGAAUCCCAGAUGUGCUA
rfam:Schistocephalus solidus strain NST_G2 genome assembly, scaffold: SSLN_contig0001224